AGGCCGAUAGUUAAAUGGCAUAACUGAGGUCUCCAAAACCUCUGUUGGGGGUUCGAUUCCCUCUCGGCCUG
rfam:Candidatus Levybacteria bacterium RIFCSPHIGHO2_02_FTLL_37_10 rifcsphigho2_02_scaffold_9092, whole genome shotgun sequence.